rnacentral:rRNA from 1 species
UUUAAAUAGCUGCAGUAAUUUAACUGUACAAAGGUAGCAUAAUAAUUAGUCUUUUAAUUGAGGUCUGGAAUGAAUGGUUUAACAAAAUAUCAACUUUAUUACUUUAACUUAAUUUAAUUUAAUUUUUUAGUUAAAAAGCUAAAAUAAUUAAAUGGGACGAUAAGACCCUAUAGAUCUUUAAUUUUUUUUAAUAAAAAUUUUUUUUGGUCUUUUUUAUAUUUAAUUUAAUUAAAAUUUUAAUUGGGGUGAUUUAAAAAAUUUAAAACUUUUUAAUAUUUUUUCAUAUAUUAAUGUUUAUUUGAUCUUAAAUUUUAGAUUAUUAGAUUAAGAUACCUUAGGGAUAACAGCGUAAUAAAUUUGAAUAGUUCAUAUUGUUAAAUUUGUUUACGACCUCGAUGUUGAAUUAAUUUAAAAAUUUGAAGUAGAAAUUGAAGUUUUUAGGUCUGUUCGACCUUUAAUUAAUUACA